rnacentral:rRNA from 1 species
AACGAACGCUGGCGGCAGGCUUAACACAUGCAAGUCGAACGCCCCGCAAGGGGAGUGGCAGACGGGUGAGUAACGCGUGGGAACAUACCCUUUUCUACGGAAUAGCUCUGGGAAACUGGAAUUAAUACCGUGUACGCUCUACGGGGGAAAGAUUUAUCGGGGAUGGAUUGGCCGGCGUUGGAUUAGCUAGUUGGUGGGGUAAAGGCCUACCAAGGCGACGAUCCAUAGCUGGUCUGAGAGGAUGAUCAGCCACAUUGGGACUGAGACACGGCCCGAACUCCUACGGGAGGCAGCAGUGGGGGAUAUUGGACAAUGGGCGCAAGCCUGAUCCAGCCAUGCCGCGUGAGUGAUGAAGGCCUUAGGGUUGUAAAGCUCUUUCACCGAUGAAGAUAAUGACGGUAGUCGGAGAAGAAGCCCCGGCUAACUUCGUG